rnacentral:rRNA from 1 species
GACGAACGCUGGCGGCGUGCUUAACACAUGCAAGUCGAACGGAAAGGCCCUGCUUUUGUGGGGUGCUCGAGUGGCGAACGGGUGAGUAACACGUGAGUAACCUACCCUAGACUUUGGGAUAACUUCAGGAAACUGGGGCUAAUCCCGGAUAGGAGCUCCUGCUGCAUGGUGGGGGGGGGAAAGUUUCGGCGGUUGGGGAUGGACGCGCGGCUUAUCAGCUUGUUGGUGGGGGAGUGGCUUACCAAGGCAUUGACGGGUAGCCGGCCUGAGAGGGUGACCGGCCACAUUGGGACUGAGAUACGGCCCAGACUCCUACGGGAGGCAGCAGGGGGGAAUAUUGCACAAUGGGCGGAAGCCUGAUGCAGCAACGCCGCGUGCGGGAUGACGGCCUUCGGGUUGUAAACCGCUUUCGCCUGUGACGAAGCGUGAGUGACGGUAAUGGGUAAAGAAGCACCGGCUAACUACGUG